UACAGAGGGUGCGAGCGUUAAUCGGAAUUACUGGGCGUAAAGCGCACGUAGUCGGCUUUGCAAGUCGGGUGUGAAAUCCCCGGGCUCAACCUGGGAACUGCAUCCGAGACUGCAUUGCUAGAGUGUCGGAGAGGAAGGCGGAAUUCUCGGUGUAGAGGUGAAAUUCGUAGAUAUCGAGAGGAACACCUGUGGCGAAGGCGGCCUUCUGGACGACAACUGACGCUGAGACGCGAAAGCGUGGGGAGCAAACAGG
rnacentral:rRNA from 1 species